AGUGAACGCUGGCGGUAGGCCUAACACAUGCAAGUCGAACGGCAGCACAGGAGAGCUUGCUCUCUGGGUGGUGAGUGGCGGACGGGUGAGGAAUACAUCGGAAUCUACUUUUUCGUGGGGGAUAACGUAGGGAAACUUACGCUAAUACCGCAUACGACCUACGGGUGAAAGCAGGGGAUCUUCGGACCUUGCGCGAUUGAAUGAGCCGAUGUCGGAUUAGCUAGUUGGCGGGGUAAAGGCCCACCAAGGCGACGAUCCGUAGCUGGUCUGAGUGGAUGAUCAGCCACACUGGAACUGAGACACGGUCCAGACUCCUACGGGAGGCAGCAGUGGGGAAUAUUGGACAAUGGGCGCAAGCCUGAUCCAGCCAUACCGCGUGGGUGAAGAAGGCCUUCGGGUUGUAAAGCCCUUUUGUUGGGAAAGAAAUCCAGCUGGUUAAUACCCGGUUGGGAUGACGGUACCCAAAGAAUAAGCACCGGCUAACUUCGUGCCAGCAGCCGCCGUAA
rnacentral:rRNA from 1 species